rnacentral:rRNA from 1 species
GGAUAACGUAGCGAAAGUUACGCUAAUACCGCAUAUUCUGUGAGCAGGAAAGCAGGGGAUCGCAAGACCUUGCGCUGAUUGAGCGGCCGAUAUCAGAUUAGCUAGUUGGUGAGGUAAAAGCUCACCAAGGCGACGAUCUGUAGCGGGUCUGAGAGGAUGAUCCGCCACACUGGAACUGAGACACGGUCCAGACUCCUACGGGAGGCAGCAGUGGGGAAUUUUGGACAAUGGGGGCAACCCUGAUCCAGCCAUGCCGCGUGAGUGAAGAAGGCCUUCGGGUUGUAAAGCUCUUUCAGCCGGGAAGAAAACGCAUGGGUUAAUACCCUGUGUGGAUGACGGUACCGGAAUAAGAAGCACCGGCUAACUACGUGCCAGCAGCCGCGGUAAUACGUAGGGUGCGAGCGUUAAUCGGAAUUACUGGGCGUAAAGCGUGCGCAGGCGGUUUUGUAAGACAGGCGUGAAAUCCCCGGGCUUAACCUGGGAACUGCGUUUGUGACUGCAAGGCUAGAGUACGGCAGAGGGGGGUGGAAUUCCACGUGUAGCAGUGAAAUGCGUAGAGAUGUGGAGGAACACCAAUGGCGAAGGCAGCCCCCUGGGUCGAUACUGACGCUCAUGCACGAAAGCGUGGGUAGCAAACAGGAUUAGAUACCCUGGUAGUCCACGCCCUAAACGAUGUCAACUAGGUGUUGGGAGGGUAAAACCUUUUAGUACCGGAGCUAACGCGUGAAGUUGACCGCCUGGGGAGUACGGCCGCAAGGUUAAAACUCAAAGGAAUUGACGGGGACCCGCACAAGCGGUGGAUGAUGUGGAUUAAUUCGAUGCAACGCGAAAAACCUUACCUACCCUUGACAUGCCAAGAACUUUCCAGAGAUGGAUUGGUGCCCGAAAGGGAACUUGGACACAGGUGCUGCAUGGCUGUCGUCAGCUCGUGUCGUGAGAUGUUGGGUUAAGUCCCGCAACGAGCGCAACCCUUGUCGUUAAUUGCCAUCAUUUAGUUGGGCACUUUAACGAGACUGCCGGUGACAAACCGGAGGAAGGUGGGGAUGACGUCAAGUCCUCAUGGCCCUUAUGGGUAGGGCUUCACACGUCAUACAAUGGUCGGUACAAAGGGUCGCCAAGCCGCGAGGUGGAGCCAAUCCCAGAAAGCCGAUCGUAGUCCGGAUCGCAGUCUGCAACUCGACUGCGUGAAGUCGGAAUCGCUAGUAAUCGUGGAUCAGCAUGUCACGGUGAAUACGUUCCCGGGUCUUGUACACACCGCCCGUCACACCAUGGGAGCGGGUUCCGCCAGAAGUAGGUAGCCUAACCGCAAGGAGGGCGCUUACCA